AGUGAACGCUGGCGGUAGGCCUAACACAUGCAAGUCGAACGGCAGCACAGUAAGAGCUUGCUCUUACGGGUGGCGAGUGGCGGACGGGUGAGGAAUACAUCGGAAUCUACUUUUUCGUGGGGGAUAACGUAGGGAAACUUACGCUAAUACCGCAUACGACCUACGGGUGAAAGCAGGGGAUCUUCGGACCUUGCGCGAUUGAAUGAGCCGAUGUCGGAUUAGCUAGUUGGCGGGGUAAAGGCCCACCAAGGCGACGAUCCGUAGCUGGCCUGAGAGGAUGAUCAGCCACACUGGAACUGAGACACGGUCCAGACUCCUACGGGAGGCAGCAGUGGGGAAUAUUGGACAAUGGGCGCAAGCCUGAUCCAGCCAUACCGCGUGGGUGAAGAAGGCCUUCGGGUUGUAAAGCCCUUUUGUUGGGAAAGAAAAGCAGCAGGUUAAUACCCCGCUGUUCUGACGGUACCCAAAGAAUAAGCACCGACUAACUUCGUG
rnacentral:rRNA from 1 species